rnacentral:rRNA from 1 species
UGGGGGAUAUUGCACAAUGGGCGAAAGCCUGAUGCAGCGACGCCGCGUGGGGGAUGAAGGCCUUCGGGUUGUAAACUUCUUUUGCUCUGAACAAGGCAUGCUAAUGGGUGUGUUGAGUGUAGGGGUUGAUUAGCGCCGGCUAACUACGUGCCAGCAGCCGCGGUAAUACGUAGGGCGCGAGCGUUGUCCGGAAUUAUUGGGCGUAAAGGGCUUGUAGGUGUCUGGUUGCGUCUGUCGUGAAAGCUCAUGGCUUAACUGUGGGUUUGCGGUGGGUACGGGCUGGCUUGAGUGCAGUAGGGGAGGCUGGAAUUCCUGGUGUAGCGGUGGAAUGCGCAGAUAUCAGGAGGAAUACCGGUGGCGAAGGCGGGUCUCUGGGCUGUUACUGACACUGAGGAGCGAAAGCAUGGGGAGCGAACAGG